GAUGAACGCUGGCGGCGUGCCUAAUACAUGCAAGUCGAGCGAACAGACGAGGAGCUUGCUCCUCUGACGUUAGCGGCGGACGGGUGAGUAACACGUGUAUAACCUACCUAUAAGACUGGGAUAACUUCGGGAAACCGGAGCUAAUACCGGAUAAUAUAUUGAACCGCAUGGUUCAAUAGUGAAAGACGGUUUUGCUGUCACUUAUAGAUGGAUCUGCGCCGCAUGAGAUAGUUGGUAAGGUAACGGCUUACCAAGGCGACGAGGCGUAGCCGACGUGAGAGAGGGAUCGGCCACACUGGAACGGGAACGCGCACCAGACGCCUACGGGAGGCAGCAGUAGGGUACCGUCCGCAGUGGGCGGAAGCCUGACGGAGCAAGCCCGCGCGAGUGACGACGGCCUUCGGAUCGUAAAGCUGUGUUAUUGGGGAAAAACAAAUGUGUACGUAACUAUGCACGUCUUGACGGUACCUAAUCAGAAAGCCACGGCUAACUACGUG
rnacentral:rRNA from 1 species